AUUCUUUGAUAGCCUUUGGUGAGGUUGACAUCAAUCGAUGAGAUCUUUGUGGUUUAAGUUGCGAGUCUUUUCUUCAGUUACAUUAAAACGAGAAAACUUUAUAUAGGCUAACUGGUCAGCCUCAACCGAUGGGACCUUGGUUUUUAGUUGCGAGUCUUUUCUUCAGUUACAUUUAAAAAGAAAUGUCAAUUAAUUGGUUGACUUCAAUCAAAGGGACCUUUGUGGUUUUAGUCGCGAGUCUUUUCUUCAGUUACAUUUUAGAAGAAAUGUUAAAUAACAGGAAUUCGACGAUGAGCAGUCUGCAGUUUGUCAGGGGUAGUUCUACAUCAACGGAUUACUCAGUAUCAACAUUAUUUUCAAAACUUCACAAUCAAGGACAACAUUUACAGAUAAGAUAUAUAAUUUCACUACUUUCAAUCCUCCAAGGUGAAAUUGCUAUUGAUGAUUUAACAAUUUGCGUUCAUAAUGAAAAGCUACUGGAAAAGAAAUUAUAUCCUCGAAGGAGUGGUAUUUUAAAACUGGUUUUGCAUUUUGCCAGAUGUGGUUUGAGACCAAAAACUGUUGCCAAGCCUCGGGUUUAUCAUGGGCAGUAGGGGACGGGCGACGGGUGUUAAGCCAAGUGCUUAAUCAUCCGUCGCCCGUCCCCUACCACUGAAACUUAGUUUGGUUUAGGUUGUAAAUAUUGUAUUAUGUUUGUACAUGUAGUAUUGGUACAUUUUAAUUUGUUUUAAGCUGAUGUUUUGUUUUGUUUUUGGGUGUAUAUUAGGUGUAUGUGUCUUAUGUUUUUUAACCUGUGUGGUAGAGCCACUAUACAAUGCUUGGGCAUUUACAAGUCAAAGCAAAUACUCUGGUCAAAUGUCAAAAAUUCUUUAAAAUUAGAGCAUCCAUCCAAAUGAUUUAUAAUCAUUGACUAUUCAUUGUGUCAAAUUUACAAAUUUAUGAAUAACCAUUUUUGACUAUGACUAUUGUAAGACCAUUUUUUAAUAAUAGGUGUUCAAAGAAUGUACCAUUUUCAACAAGAGGAUAUAGUUUAAACAAUUUUUCCAUAUGGCCAGUUUUUAGACCAUUAAAAUUGUUUCUGUUAAAUGUCCAAUUAUAAUAUUUAACCCUGUGGAUCUUUUCCUAGCGCACAUUACUAAUAGAGAGUAACGAAAAAUCAAUAAUAGGCCUAGGUCUACUUGUAAACAUUUCAUGUUUUUGAAAAACAUUGGUUGGUUGGUACCUAACAAAUAUAAUUCUAUGAGUCAUAAAAUAUUUCUAGACCAAUUAAGAAUAAGAAUCUUUAUUACCCUUUAGAAAAACCUUUUACAGUGCAAUAGGGUUGCCAUUUUGCUACAUAAUAGAAUUUGUUUACAGCUACUUUAAGUUUUUAGUCACGAAAUAUUCUUAUAUACCGUACCAAACAUGACUCUCUUUCCUGUAAAAACAAAAAAUUGCUUUCGCCAAGCAUACAUAAUGACAGAUUUUGACAUUGAAUUUGCAAUAAAAUUUCUGUUACGACUGUCUGUCAUUAGUGAGGUAAUAUUUUAUGUAAAACGGUACCUUUAUUUUUGGUUAACAGUCUAUAUAACUCUUUAGAUAGUUGUGCCACAGCAAAAUUUAUAUUGUUAAAUAUAAUUAAUAACAAGGCAUUCAAUAUCUUGAAAUUGUUGGUUUUUUGCUAACGCAAUUAAUUAUAUAAAUGCUUGUUUAAAAUCUCACCAUUGGUAAAUAUUUGAAGACGAAACACUAGCUUACGUUUUAUAAGCCUAUCUAUAACCGUCAUUCACUUGUACUAAAAUAAUUUUUAUUUGCUUUGUACAACUAAAGGUUAAGAACCUUACUUUAGAAUAGCUUGAAAGAUUUACAAUAAAAAUUAUAAUGGACAGAUUUUAAAUCAUUUAUCCUUUCAUCCUUUUCCUAAAUAUUUCUGUUUAAUUUAUAUGAUUUUUUCUAACGUUGCAAUAACCUCAUGUUGCUGUAUUUGUUAGGAGACUCUAAUGAAAUUAUCAAUUGUCAAAUACAGUUUUGAUGUUGUAUCAGUAAGUUAAGGCUGUUUGGGAUGAAAGUAUAAUCAUUUUAAGCUUAAU